AUACGGAGGAUCCGAGCGUUAUCCGGAUUUAUUGGGUUUAAAGGGUGCGCAGGCGGCCGUGCAAGUCAGCGGUGAAAGCCCGGGGCUCAACCCCGGAAGUGCCGUUGAUACUGCAUGGCUGGAAUGCGGUCGAGGCGGGCGGAACGGGGCGUGUAGCGGUGAAAUGCGUAGAUAUGCCACAGAACGCCGAUAGCGGAGGCAGCUCGCCAGGCCUGCAUUGACGCUCGGGCACGAAAGCGUGGGGAUCGAACAGGAUUAGAUACCCUGGUAGUCCACGCCGUAAACGAUGGGCGCUCGUCGUCGGCGGCAGACAGUCGGCGGCCAAGCGAAAGCGAUAAGCGCCCCACCUGGGGAGUACGGUCGCAAGGCUGAAACUCAAAUGAAUUGACGGGG
rnacentral:rRNA from 1 species